AUUGAACGCUGGCGGCAGGCCUAACACAUGCAAGUCGAACGAGUGGCGGACGGGUGAGUAAUGUCUGGUAAACUGCCUGAUGGAGGGGGAUAACUACUGGAAACGGUAGCUAAUACCGCAUACCAUCGGAUGUGCCCAGAUGGGAUUAGCUUGUUGGUGGGGUAACGGCUCACCAAGGCGACGAUCCCUAGCUGGUCUGAGAGGAUGACCAGCCACACUGGAACUGAGACACGGUCAAGACUCUUAAGGGAGGAAGCAGUGGGGAAUAUUGCACAAUGGGCGCAAGCCGGAUGCAGCCAUGCCGCGGGUAGGAAGAAGGCCUUCGGGUUGUAAAGUACUUUCAGCGGGGAGGCGGUACCCGAAGAAGAAGCACCGGCUAACUCCGUGCCAGCAGCCGCGGUAAUUC
rnacentral:rRNA from 1 species